AGUAACGCGUGAGGAACCUGCCUUUCAGUGGGGGACAACAGUUGGAAACGACUGCUAAUACCGCAUAACGUAUUUGUGUCGCAUGGCAUGGAUACCAAAGAUUUAUCGCUGAGAGAUGGCCUCGCGUCUGAUUAGCUAGUUGGUAGGGUAACGGCCUACCAAGGCGACGAUCAGUAGCCGGACUGAGAGGUUGGCCGGCCACAUUGGGACUGAGAUACGGCCCAGACUCCUACGGAAGGCAGCAG
rnacentral:rRNA from 1 species